AAUCACAACAAAUAAUAUAUAUAUAUUAUAUAUAAGGAUAUUUCAAUAUACUUAUAAGUUUUUAAUUAUCCAAAUUACUUAACAUAAUAUCAGCGUUCUGCAAUCAAUUGGGGAUUAUUUUUUCUUUUCUUUUGAUUAUUUCGUAAAAAUAUAUAAAACUUAUCUCAUCUAUCAUCCGUUUGGAUUUGACUAUCUAAUUUUCUAUAAAAUUUAAUUGUAUUAUCUAAUUUUUUAAUUUAUUUAAUUUGAGUCAAUUUGAUAAUUUUUUAACCUUAAAAUUUAAAUACAUCGUUUAUCUUCAUGGGCUUAGCUAUAAAUUUU
rnacentral:lncRNA from 1 species